GGGGCCGUAGCUCAGCUGGGAGAGCGCCAGAAUCGCACUCUGGAGGUCACGGGUUCGAAUCCCGUCGGCUCCA
rnacentral:tRNA from 1 species